rnacentral:rRNA from 1 species
AUUGAACGCUGGCGGCAGGCCUAACACAUGCAAGUCGAACGAGUGGCGGACGGGUGAGUAAUGUCUGGGAAACUGCCUGAUGGAGGGGGAUAACUACUGGAAACGGUCGCACAUCCCGCAUACCCUCGUAUGUGCCCAGAUGGGUUGAGCUAGUAGGUGGGGUAAAGGCUCACCUAGGCGACGAUCCCUAGCUGGUCUGAGAGGAUGACCAGCCACACUGGAACUGAGACACGGUACAGACGCCUACGGGAGGCAGCAGUGGGGAAUAGUGCACAAUGGGCGCAAGCCUGAUGCAGCCAUGCCGCGUGUAUGAAGAAGGCCUUCGGGUUGUAAAGUACUUUCAGCGGGGAGGCGUUACCCGCAGAAGAAGCACCGGCUAACUCCGUGCCAGCCGCCGCGGUAAUAC